CUAGCUUCUCUUUUACCUCUUGUAUAUACUGCAUGUUCUUGAUUGCAUUUUUUGAAGCCGAGCUCUUUCAGACUCCUGUUCAGCCGCAUGUUCCAAGCUCGUGGAGCCUGCCGCAGUCCAUAGAGGGCCUUGGAUAACCUCUCUCCGUUCAGAAAUGCCGACUUCACGUCUAGAUGGUGUACCUCCCAGCCUUGAUUUGCUGCAAGUGCAAGAAUGACUCGAAUAGUAUCAAGUCUAGCGACAGCUGAAUCUUUCUUCAGUUUGAACACCCAUUUUAGGCCGAUAGGUUUGUGGCCUAAUGGGAGCUCAGUUAGGG